UUAAAUUAAACAUUUUGUAUAAACUUAAACUAAAAUUAAUUAUAAUAAUAAAAGGAAAACAAAAGAUGCUUUUCAUUUUGAUUGCUUUAUUUCUGGCCUACACUUCUAUCAAAUCAAUUAACAUUUAUUACUAAUUAACUGACCCGACGGACGUUGCCCUGUCCAAAUUUUCCGACUUUCCUUUGUAAUUGUCUCGAAUUUUUUUUCCUGAAAACUUUUCCAGGACCAUAACGAACAAAACAAAAAAAGAAUUACGCAUAUCCAUCGUUCGAAUCGUGAAUUAUGAUCUUCAGUUCUUACAAAAAUCCCAUAGUAAAAAGCACUUUCAUUUUUUCCCGAGUUUUCCAUUUUUCCGGGCAGCUUUUCUAAUUUUUCUUUCCCUAAAAACCUUAUUCGGGCUAUUGCGAACAUUAAAAAAAAAAAUUAGCCAAAUCGGUCCAGCAUUUAUAUGACGAAUAGCAUUUAAUUUUUAUUUAUAUAGAUAAUAAACGUUCCUACAAAUUUUCAAUGGGUUUGAGGUCUGGAGAAUUUCCAGGCCAGUCAAGAACUUUCACUUUUUUCAACUGUGUAUCGUAACUUUACAACCAUCAUUAAAAUACAUCAUUAAUAAAAAAUAACAAAAACUCCGUUUAACUAGAUUGAUCAUUUUUAUGUAAAAUCAUCAAUUUAUGCGACUGGCUCUAAUAAUUUGAUCAGCCACUGUAUAUUAAUUUCGCUCGUAUGAUACAGACAGGGAAAAAGUAAAAUAUUCACAAGGGAGACGCGGGGAGUUAAUAAUUCGAACGGAAGAAAAUAAAGUAAGAAGGAAACUCAAGGACACGAAUCACACACCAGUGCUUGAAUAACGCGACACACUUGCAGAGUGGUGUGCAACAGUGUGGCGAGAAUUCGCGAUAAUAGCGAGCUAGCUGCCGGCUACUAAGCCGCGCUAUGUACGGGUAUCUGCGAUCGUCCUCGCAUUUUUCACCAUCUUAGCAAAGCGUGUUGCAUCAGUUAAGGAGAUCUAGACGCGUUCAACCUUCUGCACCGCGAGCGACCUUCGAGUCGAAUUACCCAUUCGGAGCAGCCGCGAGCUGUUCGGCGCGUAAUCCAGCUCGAUAUCGAUUAAUUGCAGCUUCGAUCGAGCGAGAAACACCGCCGGGCCUCGAUCGAACGUCGAUUUUCGAAAGGUUUCCAUCGAAUCUUAAACCCCCCUCCAACUUCUCCUAUACGAAACUUUGCGGAAAUUGAAAAUCACGUUCCGUCGAGAAUUUUUCGCGACUAAGGAAAAAUAAUGGAUUCUCCGUAACUGGUUAACGCAAUGGAGGAAAUUCAGUGGCCGGUUAUUGUUUUUCUGCAACGGGCACCGUUCUCCGACAAGGCUAUUUCUGCCUCCUCGUAUUUCAACUCGAAACCGGACUCGUGGCACUAAUGAAUCGCGGCUCUCUUGGUAUUGCAUAAGCCUAUCUUUUUCUUGCGUUUUAUACGUCCAUCGAUUCUUGUACUCGCGCCCGCGCCAGUGUAAUUUGUAAUUAUUGUCCGCGACGAGCCGCCUUUGCGAGAGAUUUCGAUCCUCCUUGGAUCAUCAAUCUUCCCCACCGUUCCUCCUCCUUAUCGUUGAAAAAUUGUGAAAUUUUUUUAAUUCUCAAUCGUUUUUCAUUAAAAAAUUCUUGAUCUUAUCUAACAACUCGAUGAAUAAAAUUAUGGUAAAUGUCUGCAAUUAGGGCCCCAACGAGAAAUCAAUUGAAAAGAGGUAAAUUCUAUGUAUUUUUGCCCCCCGAAUCUAAAACUGUUGAUAAAAUUUGUGGGUCGCUUGUAUUUACUAAGAUAUUCUGGUAAAUACUGACAUAAAAUCAUUAUUUUCAGAAGUUAAUGACAUUGUGAGGUAGACGAUACUUUUAAAGGGCGUCGCUAACCUACAUAGGUUAGGUUAGGUUAUCAGAAAAAAUAUAACUUACCUUACGGCGAAAACUUGACCAGUCAACAAUAGUCUCCUAGCUCGGUUCUAAUUCCUGUUCAUAGAAUGCAGCGCGGAGGACGCAUCAUGAGAAAAUAUCCAAUAUAAAACUAGCAAUCGUCGUGAUAUCAAGAUUAGAAUCGGCGUACCACUUUUAAUACUUAAUUUAAAUUCACACUUUGAAAUUAUUCUUUCCAAGGAGACUAUUGUUGACUGGUCAAGUUUUUCCUGUGAGUGUUGGAUUCGAGCGGCAAAAAUACAUAAAAUUUACCUCUUUUCAAUUGAUUUUUCAUUAGGGCCCUAAUUGUAGACGUUUACCAAAAUUAUUGCCGAGUUUCAAGAGUUUUCAAUUAAUUCUCGCUUCCGCCCAGAGAAACUGAAUUUUCGGCUAUAGCGAACGCGUAAAUCGCUGCGUGGAAGAUAUCGGUGAUAAACGUUAAAUUUAACCGUCACUUUCGACACGGAAUGCGGCGAGAAUUGGCUUGACCUACAGAGCACUCUGUUUCAUAUUUAUCGGCAACGUACCAUAAAUGAUCGCCGAGAAAUGCGCGCUAUUUAGCUCGUUCUGUUCGAGCCUUCCGACGCGAAUACCAUUGAAGAGGAGUACCAUUUUCAUGCGAAAUAACCAAAUGAAAAACAUAUGCAAAAUACCGCAGUUGUUUGAUGGAAGAAAAAGAAUCAAAGCUAUCGUCGAGGAUACACUUCUUCGCCGUAGGUGUCGGACGUUCACGGCCGCGGUGCAUAGAAACGAGGCGUAAUUAAGAGUAGAAUCGCAUUGAAAUCGCGCAUUAAGCGUGUCUAUGCGCGUGCACAAAUGUAUCCUGCAAAAGGACAAAGCGCAGAAAUACCACAAUUACGCGGAAAAUCUAUAAAUAUACCGGCGUGUCCUGUUGCAAAAUAAUCGUCAUUUUCGAGUAAUGCAAUUUUUAUUUAUGCAAUCGCAUUAUUUCGUACCUCGGUCUCUUUCAGUUUUCUAUUUUGCACAUCAAUGUCGCACACGUACACGGGAUUUCCAUUAAAAAAGAAACCUCUCGUGGCUGUUGUCUACGUCCACUUAUCUUUUACAUUCCAACGGAGCCAAGGUUAAACGGAGGGGCAAGAAAAAGACGUUCCUCUUUUUGAAUGAAAGAAAAUGAUUGAAAAAGAAAAAAUAAAGUAUCGUGCUAGAAGAUCGUCCCAGUUAAUUCACAUUUCCUAUCUCCCAGAUUCUCCUAGGAGAUCAGGAUAAUUAUAUUAACAAGGUACACCUCGAUGAACGAGUUAAUUAAAGAUCGACCAAUUAGAGAACGGGGUCGUACGAAUGACUUCGUGGAAAUUAUGCGAUGCCCGUUGGCAAUCAAUCGAUGCUGUUACUUCACCAUUUCAUUUCGUCUAUUUGCUCGCCAAUUGGAUAAGAAUACAAGGACGAUUCCGAUUGGAUUUCCUGCCGAACGAAUUGAACACGAUCAGAUGUUGAUCGAUGACCAAAUUAGUCGAUUCGGUCGAAAUUAUUUGGGAAGAUGAUGGAGACUGGUAUCUUCGAAAGAUUCGACGACCGGGGGGGCACGAUCCGAGGGGAUGCGUUUUUGUUUUUGUAGCGUUACAUUUUUCUUAAUUAUUUCAUCUUAUGUAAUCUUUAUGUUAUUUUUCUUAAUUAAAAUUAUUUUCUUGAAUUUCAA